CGGAGGCUGGGCGCAUGAGGGCUGGGCCUGCGGGCCGCGGGACAGGGAGGGCGCGGGGCCGGGCUGCCGGGUCCGAGCUCUGGGCACGAUGUCCUCCCUGACGCCGCCAGGACAGCGCCUGGCCCAGGCCUGGGCCUGGUGAACGCGGGUUUCUUCCUCUGAGGUUCAUCACUCCGCGCUUGGGUUGGCUCCCUUCUUUCAUUCUGAUUGGUUUAUUCGCCACCUGCCAAGCACUGAAGAGGGCGUGCAGGAUGGCUGCUUUUGGAGCAAAAAUAGCCCUGGUUCUUUCCUGAGGAGGGAUCGCACUUUCUAGAGGGGCGGUUCUCAAAGUAUGGUCUCAGGACUAGCAGCAUCAAAAAUGCUAGGAACUCAUUAGAAAAGCAAGUUUUCAAUCCUCGCCCCAGAAUCAGAAACUCGGGGUGGAGCCCAGCAAUGUGUGUCCUGACAAGUCCACGCGCGACCCCAGUGCUGGCUAGGGUUGCAAAGCCACUGCUCUACGGAGCAAGCGAGAUCCAUCAUAGUGGGACAAGCAAGAAGAUGAGGCCAUGCAGACCAGGGAGAGAGGCUCCUUACACUGACAUUCAAAGUCCUCCAUGACCCAGCCCCAGCCUACUUCUGCAGCCUUAUCUCCCUACGAACCAUCAAAGCAGAACAAAAAGCUGUGCCUCCGAUUUAGGUUUCAGCAAACCACAAGAAGCACUUCAUAAACUGGUGACUCAAGUAGAAAAGUACUGUUCCACGCACUUGACACCAAUCCCCCCAUUUCACCUGCAUGAUCACCCUGCCUUUGCAUGAGUUGCCGGUGUGGACAGAGCAGGGACACAGUGAGGCAGCGGAUUCCGGCUGUGCUCUUCCCUGGAACACACUGCCUCUCACCAGGAAUCAUCCUUCCAUUUUAUGCAGUUAUCCCAGACAGUGAUGCACGAGCUUUGGGGAAAAAACCCCACAAGUCCAAAGGUGUACUUCAUAAUAAAGGCAAGUUCUCUAGUCA
rnacentral:antisense_RNA from 1 species